rnacentral:rRNA from 1 species
GAUGAACGCUGGCGGCGUGCCUAAUACAUGCAAGUCGAGCGAACGGACGAGAAGCUUGCUUCUCUGAUGUUAGCGGCGGACGGGUGAGUAACACGUGGAUAACCUACCUAUAAGACUGGGAUAACUUCGGGAAACCGUAGCUAAUACCGGAUAAUAUUUUGAACCGCAUGGUUCAAAAGUGAAAGACGGUCUUGCUGUCACUUAUAGAUGGAUCCGCGCUGCAUUAGCUAGUUGGUAAGGUAACGGCUUACCAAGGCAACGAUGCAUAGCCGACCUGAGAGGGGAUUGGGCACACUGGAACUGAGACACGGUCCAGACUCCUACGGGAGGCAGCAGUAGGGAAUCUUCCGCAAUGGGCGAAAGCCUGACGGAGCAACGCCGCGUGAGUGAUGAAGGUCUUCGGAUCGUAAAACUCUGUUAUUAGGGAAGAACAUAUGUGUAAGUAACUGUGCACAUCUUGACGGUACCUAAUCAGAAAGCCACGGCUAACUACGU